GUGCCAGCAGCCGCGGUAAUACGAAGGUCCCGAGCGUUGUUCGGAAUCACUGGGCGUAAAGGGAGCGUAGGCGGUUUGGUAAGUCAGAUGUGAAAUCCCGGGGCUCAACCCCGGAACUGCAUCCGAUACUGCCAGACUUGAGUAAUGGAGAGGUAGCUGGAAUUAUCGGUGUAGCAGUGAAAUGCGUAGAUAUCGAUAGGAACACUCGUGGCGAAAGCGAGCUACUGGACAUUUACUGACGCUGAGGCUCGAAGGCUAGGGGAGCGAAAGGGAUUAGAUACCCGUGUAGUCC
rnacentral:rRNA from 1 species